rnacentral:rRNA from 1 species
CCUACGGGAGGCAGCAGUGAGGAAUAUUGGUCAAUGGACGAGAGUCUGAACCAGCCAAGUAGCGUGAAGGAUGACUGCCCUAUGGGUUGUAAACUUCUUUUAUAUGGGAAUAAAACGUUCCACGUGUGGGAUUUUGUAUGUACCAUAUGAAUAAGGAUCGGCUAACUCCGUGCCAGCAGCCGCGGUAAUACGGAGGAUCCGAGCGUUAUCCGGAUUUAUUGGGUUUAACGGGGGCGUAGGUGGAUUGUUAAGUCAGUUGUGAAAGUUUGCGGCUCAACCGUAAAAUUGCAGUUGAAACUGGCAGUCUUGAGUGCAGUAGAGGUGGGCGGAAUUCGUGGUGUAGCGGUGAAAUGCUUAGAUAUCACGAAGAACUCCGAUUGCGAAGGCAGUUCACUGGACUGCAACUGACACUGAGGCUCGAAAGUGUGGGUAUCAAACAGGAUUAGAUACCCGAGUAGUC